ACGAACCGUCCAAACGUUAUUCGGAAUCAUUGGGCUUAAAGGGUACGUAGGCGGUGCCGUAAGUCGGGUGUGAAAUCCCUCGGCUCAACCGAGGAACUGCGCCCGAUACUGCGGUGCUUGAGGGAGACAGGGGUGAGCGGAACUGAUGGUGGAGCGGUGAAAUGCGUUGAUAUCAGGAGGAACACCGGUGGCGAAGGCGGAUCUCUGGGCCUUACCUGACGCUCAGGCGCGAAAGCUAGGGGAGCAAACAGGA
rnacentral:rRNA from 1 species